rnacentral:sRNA from 1 species
ACAGAUCGAAAUGAACAAUGAUAACAAAAGCAACCACAAUAGAGUGAAGGCUGUUGUUUUGUCACUGGGGAGCUGCAUUUAAAUCGACACAGAGGGGGUGUGUGCGGUUUAUGGUGGGAGUUUUUGGCUUUGGUUUUUCAUACUGUGAUGAUUACGAUGACGGAUUUUUAUGCUCUUUUCUUUUCUUAAAGGCAUUGGAUGGAAUUUUUUGCUCCUCAACGCCUUUCUGCUUUCUUUUUUCUCGGGAUAGCUUCCUAUAAUAUCGUGUCUGACACCUUUGGAAGGAAAACACCUAGUCGGUCAAAGGUAGUGAGCAGAGAUUGAGACAUGAAGUCAAUAUCUGCCCUUUCACCCCUCUCUUACUUGACUUUUUGUCAUGCUGACUUAAAUUGAGAAUUAACUGCAGGUUUCCCAGUGAGCUCUGACUGAUCAUGGUGAUAGUGAUGUUUUAAACAUUCUUUCACCUUUCUAUUUGACUGUUUGAGAAAAAAAAAUGUCUUGUAUGUCUUUUUAUUGAUUUCAAUGCAAGAUAACAACUUUCUACAGCUCCAACUAGUUGGCUUCUGCUGAGUUUUGUUUACACACAUUGCUUUCUUUCUGCAUUUAUUUGGCUGAGGUUCUCUCUUCUUCAACGCGUCCGACAGGGAUCAGAAAACCCUCUUAAUAAAAGGUUUCAGCUUUGUAUUUUUGCCCUUUUCUCAUACCUUCUUUCCUCUAUGUCCUACCAUGUGUGAUUUGGUUCCGCGUCAUCACUCUUAAUUCAUAUUGCAGCCAUGAUAUAAUUUCCUUACGCAGUCACAUAAAAGAGUACGUGGCAUUGGAAAUGAGAACGGAAGGAAAAAGUAAUUCUUUCAACUCUAGUUCGUUGAUCCACUUCUUUCUUUCUUUCCCUACUUUUCUUUUCUUUGGGCCCAUGUUGUUUGGUACAGAGCGCAGUGCUGUGUAAUUGUUUCAAUAAUGCCGGAUGGAAUAUGCCCCUACCACUACGUGGACAUAAAAUAGAGACACAACAUUUUGCUCAAUAUCUUUGUUGUGCUCGUUGGUUAUAUGGGGAACUUGAGUUUGCUGUGGCGGAGCGGAUGUUCAACGAUUGACACUGUUUGGUGUCAGUAUACCGAUCGCGUGGAACAGGCGUAGAUUCGGCAGGCAGGUAUCAACUUUAUUGUGGGAUUGACAUGCUGGCAAUGCCUGCAUGGAAGAUGUAGAUGUAGAUGUUCCGCUGUGGUUGUAGGAGAUGUAUACAUAAUACAAAUUGAGGGU